CGAAGCAAUAGUUUAAUUAAAAUAUCGGCAUUGGAAGCCGGAGAUUAGGAUGUGAAGUGUCUAUUCUUCGA
rnacentral:tRNA from 1 species